GUGCAAGCGUAGGCCGGAAUUAUUGGGCGUAAAGAGCUCGUAGGCGGUCUGUUACGUCGGCUGUGAAAACCUGGGGCUCAACCCCGGGCCUGCAGCCGAUACGGGCAGACUAGAGUUCGGCAGGGGAGACUGGAAUUCCUGGUGUAGCGGUGAAAUGCGCAGAUAUCAGGAGGAACACCGGUGGCGAAGGCGGGUCUCUGGGCCGAAACUGACGCUGAGGAGCGAAAGCGUGGGGAGCAAACAGG
rnacentral:rRNA from 1 species